ACGAGGGAUGCAAGCGUUAUCCGGAAUUAUUGGGCGUAAAGCGUCCGCAGGUGGCUCUGUAAGUCUGUCGUUAAAGAAUGGGGCUUAACCCCAUACAGGCGAUGGAAACUACAAGGCUAGAGUUUGGUAGGGGUCACGGGAAUUCCUAGUGUAGCGGUGAAAUGCGUAGAUAUUAGGAAGAACACCAGCGGCGAAAGCGCG
rnacentral:rRNA from 1 species